GGCGGGAAAACAGGAUGUCUUCCAUUUGGAAGCCCCUUUGCUUCUAAGAAGUUCCAGAGACCAACCCAGGCCCACAGAGUUAUAAGGAUUCAUCUGGGUACUGAAGACAUUUGGGACCUCAGUGAAGUUUCUCCGAGGCCAGAUGGUCACAUUGAUUUUCUGAAAUCAUUUUGAAUAAAAAUGACCGAGGUGGUGAACACAAUGCAAGGCUUUCCACGUACUGUCUGGUAUUGUUCAACCAGCUCCAUGACUCCCUGAGGGCAGAGAUGAGCAGAUGUUAAUGGAUAAAGCCAGGUGGGAUGAUGUUAUAACAUUUCUCCUAUAGCCCCAAAUCUCCCAACUCCUGCAUGUGUGACCUGAGUAAGACUCAGUGCAAGAAGACAUCGGUGUUCCCAUCUGUGAAAUGAAGGAAUUCACCCCCCAGGAUCUUCCAUUUCUGACAAUGCUUUGGAUUUCCUUGGUUUUGUCACAGGUACCCCCCAAAAGCCUCCAUCUUUGGAUAAGUGAUUAAAACUGCUGAGUAAUUUUCAAUCAAUAAAAGUUCAGUGCUGGCUCUCUCA
rnacentral:sRNA from 1 species